GUCUCCGUGGCUUAGCCCGGAGAACACCCGACUAUGAUUCGGUAGAACUCGGGUUCGAGUCUCGCUGAAGACA